UCUGAAAUAUCCUGUAAUCAAAGAUGUUCUGCGAAUAUUAUGAUAAUUCAUGACUCAUAUUUACAAACUAAGUCAGCAACUGAAUUUUGGAAAUGAUCAAACAUAAAUGCGAGAAGAAAAUUCUGGAAUCUGAAAAUCCUCAAUGUCAUACUUCUAUCAGACAAGAGUUCAAUGUUUUAAACUGUAAAUUAAGCCUAUGGUUUCAAUGCAUAACCACAUAACCAGCCC
rnacentral:lncRNA from 1 species